rnacentral:rRNA from 1 species
GUAACACGUGGGUAACCUGCCUUAUAGUGGGGGAUAGCCUUUCGAAAGGAAGAUUAAUACCGCAUAAGAUUGUAGUAUCGCAUGAUAUAGCAAUUAAAGGAGCAAUUCGCUAUAAGAUGGACCCGCGUCGCAUUAGCUAGUUGGUGAGGUAAUGGCUCACCAAGGCGACGAUGCGUAGCCGACCUGAGAGGGUGACCGGCCACAUUGGACUGAGACACGGCCCAGACUCCUACGGGAGGCAGCAUG